UUUUUGGAAUUUUCGGUCUCUUCAGUCGGUAAAAUUAGCGAACACUAUUCUCCCUCUAUAUCCGACGGUUUCGGUUGUGUUAUUCAACCUUUUUCAACCGAAACCGUCGGAUGUAGAGGUAAAUAGUUUUUUUUUGCAAUUUUUCAUCGUAAUAGGCUGUUUUACCUCACGUAAAUCUGACAUGAAAAGUCCUACUUUCCCACUUAAAAUUAACAGUGCUGUAAUGGUUCAUUACAGCACUGGUUUGCAUUGCGUAAUGAACCAUUACAGCACUGUUUUCAGUUUUGAUCAACUUCUUGAUUCUUUCUGGACGCAGUUUUGAAAAAUUGUGACAAAUGCACAGUAUAAGCUGCUAUGAUCAGACUUUCUUAAACAUGGCUAUGAUCAUCAGGGUGCAGUUUGAUGGAAAACUUUUGUUAAAACUUUCCUCAAGCGGUAGUUUAUGAACUUGCAAAAAACGUACGCAACUCGGUGCAGAUCUCGAUUUUUACAGCACUCGUAGUAAUUAUGCAACUCGGCAAGCCUCGUUGGAUUAAUGUACGACUCAUGCUGAAAAAAUAGUCAUUCUGCAUCUUGUUGCGUAAACUACUAUUCACUGAUUUCACCGACUGAAAAACCCAAAAAUUGCUGAGAGCUACAGUGUCAAAGAUCUUUCUUAAUAAGAUUAUAUUUUUGGACAGCGCUUCUUUCCAUACAAAUCUAAAUAAGACCGGUUCCUGAAUUUUCAUAACACCUAUUGUAUUGCAUAGGUUUGCUGAUUAUUUUCAAUAAAUCAUCAUACGUACCUCAUCACCUUUGAUGGUCCAUCCGCGUGAGUGUACUGACCUGAAAUGAGAGAAACACAAUCCACAUUUAUUAGUUAGCACUAUUUUAUUUGGUUAAGGGUAAUUGCUAAUCAACACAUCAUUCUAAAGAUUUCAGAUAACGGUCAACACAUGUAAGUACAUGUGUCAACAUUGGUGCUCGUUUCUCUCAGUCUUUACCAAACUAAUCACUAGAAGAUAAUGAAAUUUUAAUGAGAUGCAACAUGACGCGUACGCCAUUCGUACAACAACCGUUAGCGGCCGGUGACCACACACAAGGUAUCCAAUUGGUCAGUCAGCCGUGUCCAACUAACUCCAGCAUCUAACCACAGUCAGCGCAGCGGUAUCGGCAGUGUCCGUCCAGGUAGGCAUGUUUCCUCUUUUGGGCUGGUUUUAAUUGAUUUUACUUGUAUGUGGCCUAUUCGGUUUGGCAGAAAAAAAAGUGAUGUUAACAUUUGCAGCCUGGUCGUAUGUUCUUUGGUGGUACGUACCAAUCAUGUAAGUAACUGGGAUAAUAAAAUUAAUGAAAGCGGGUAAUCUUUUCAAGUAGUAGAUCUAGCCGUGCUUUGGUUUGAACUUACAUUUUAACGAUGAGUGGUUACAUUUGACUUAAACACUAAUUAGUGGCCUAAUGUUUUCUAAUGCCGUCUGAGCUCACGCCAUAAGAAAUAUAAGUAUGCAAUGCUAAAUAAUCAGGAUCAUAAAAACUAUGAUGAACAAUUAACAGUCAAAGUAUUUAUUUCGAAAAGUGAACUGAAGUACACAUUUUACGUGUACUAUUUAUUUUUACACUGACUUGCCACAUUAUUAUAAAUAUCACGUUCUGAAUGUGUGCUAAGUUUGAUACACGCUCUGAAUAUUUAGACGAAUGAACUGGAACAGUACAUCACCAAAACUCCGCAUAUGUUAAGGUAAGGUAAGGAAACAAGUGUACAGGGCAGCGAACACAUGUACUCCAUAUCUUUGUUUCAGUUUUAUACGUGGUACAUGCCAUGCAUAAAAUGUAGUUUGAACUUGAAGAAAAUGAGAACAAUGCGGCCGUUUUCUCGGCUGAAUUGUCAAGAUUUGCACGCUUUAUUAUGACCCGAUUCACAGCGUAGUGUCGUAUACUUGCUUUCUAUUUGCGUGAGACUUCUUUAAACGGAGCGUUUGUGAGAAUGGUUUAUAUAACUCAGAGAACAACUGUUACGAAACUAAAAAUUAUUAAACAAACAGAACAUUUUAAACGUCUUCAUUUUAUGAUGAGGAAUUAGAAUGAGGACCCAAAGCGACAAAAGCGCAGGAAGGUUUUCUGCACAACUAUGGUGAAGGUAACGAAUUAAAUUUUGUCAAUCCCUGGUUGCAUUUUGGGCUGAAAAGUUUGGUACCGUAAUCCGGGGUCAAAUUGAUCACUUUGAGAUAAUUCGGGUGAACUACGCACCCGAAGAAAGCAGUGGAUCACAGAUGAUACCUGGAGGAAGAUAGAGGAGCAAAGGAACGCCAAAGCCGUGAUAGAGCGAGCGAAAUACGAGGAGUGUUCUGACCAGCCCUGGUCUAGUGUAUAACUUUUUAGAUAGACGUCGGAUCACUUUGCUAUCUGUAGGAUCCUAGUCUUGAUCGCAGUAGCCUUGAGAUAUGUAAUUGACAUAUGCUUCAUUGUAAUAAAUCAUUAUUGUACCAACCACCGACACGAAGAGUCUACAUUUGGCGACGAGGAUAAAUUUGCAUCGACAGCAAGCAGGAAGAAAAGACGAAAGGAUUACCCGGGUCUGAAAAACAUACUCAAGAUUGUCUUUUCAAAGCUAAAUUGCUUGGUUUGUAAGUAUAAGUGAAAUUGAUUGCUCUUAGGGAUGAUGCCAGUAAUCCUAAAGGUUGGCCCGGAUUCUCAGGGAUGAAGUUUACUAUGAGUAAAUCCCAGAAUCUUAGGGAUGGAACCAAUACGAAAAGGUCUGGUCCCGGAGCAAGUAAAAUGAUCUCGGAUGCUCUCAGGGAUGAUUGCAACCAUUCUGAAAAUGGGCCCCGGAUUCUUAGGGAUGCAUUUUAUAGGUUAAGAGAGUUCCUUCACUGAGUGAAAACUUCCGUCAACUAUAAAACCCGGAAUCUUAGGGAUGAUGCCUAUUCGAGAAGGUGUGCACCCAGAGCAACGGAAUUAACGUGAGUCCCAGAGGCGAUCCUUGAGGGAUGAAGCUCACAGGUAAUGCGGAACCCAUGAUAUGGGAUGAUAGUACGCUAAAUAAAAUGGACCCAGAGGCGACCCUCGAGGGAUGAAUCCACUGAUCGGCGGAACCCAAUUAAAUUGGGAUGAAAGUACGCAGUUCUACCUGAGGUAGAAUGAAAGGCGGAACCUUGUUGUUGGGAUGGAGUACACUGAUCUAUGAUAGUGGAACCCAGACAAAAGGAUGAAGUACGCCAUGCCAAAUCCGGUUAUAGGAUCCGUUGAAUUAUUCUCAAUGGUUACUUAUGAGCAUUUUCAUUGGAAAAUCACAAGAGGUACUUUUAGGGAUGGCUUUCUUAUGUUUAAUUUUCACAAAAAAAAAAAAAUAAAAGAAUGUAUUAUGAGAAAUUUUGUUUGUGAAAUUGUAAACAGUAGAAACCCGAAGUACAUAGCGUGAUCAAUGCAUUGAAAAUCUCUUUUUGAUUGAUUAAACUGUAUACUAUUUUUUAUGUUGAAGGCACAGUAGCGAAGUCAAAACCAAAGCAAAUGAACUUAUCGUAAAUGUUACAAUCAUCAGAGACGAAACCCACUAUAUAGACUCUAUGGUUCAACACAAGAAGAAUAGCAUGUCCCCACAAUACAAUCAAUAUUCAUAGCAGAUUGGACUUCAUCAAAGGACUGCGAGAAAAACAGUAACGAUGUUUUCCUUUGGCAGAAAAUGGAGUAUAAGAUGUUGACUGACAUUCAAAUACCACGGCAAGGACGAUCGGUAGCCCAUAAGAUGCAACACGGUAAUCAUACUUGAAGGCUUGAAGUUUCUGACGCGUUACAAACUCUAACCGGCGGGCAGUCAUCUGUACAUGGAAAAUCGCAUGUUAUAAUGUUUAAUUAAGUUUAAGUGAAAACUAUAAAAGGGGGGAAAGAUGUAGGAUCCUAGUCUUGAUCGCAGUAGCCUUGAGAUAUGUAAUUGACAUAUGCUUCAUUGUAAUAAAUCAUUAUUGUACCAACCACCGA